CGUGUGUCAGCGCCUCGUUUCAUGUUACAGCGUGUCACAGAAAUAGCAUCCAAAAGCCACUACCGUUGUUUUAUAGGGGUAUAUUUCAUACAGGGCUAUUUUUGUGUGUGUUUUCAUUUAUUUUCUCUGUUGAUUUGGGAUCUUUAUAAUCUUGAGAAGGAAUGUGAUUUAAGGAGAAACGUGUAUUAACCCUUUCUAAUCAGCCGAAUUUCACCCAAAGGGAGUGUUCAAUAGUUGGGCUACUGUUUUAUUUGUUUUAUUUAUUUUUCUUUAAACUGAAUAGGCCAUUGUAACAAAAUAUUCACAGUGUAUUUGGAGCUUGUGUUAAUUUGAUCUCUUUUUAUAUUUCUUGUAAACUUGGUUUAUUAUAAUAUACUACGCAGGGGGAAAUUUCACAGUCAUUUAAUGCUGUGUUUUCUCUUAACUCAGUCGGAAAUAAAGAACCCCUGUUAGAUGUA